GCUGGGAGAGAGUACUGAAAAAGCAUUGCUCUGUUGCUCUGCUUUUAUGUUCUUUCAUUGGUGUUUCUGGACGUAGGAUCAUAGAAUCACAGACUCAUAGACACGUUAAGGUUGGAAAAGGCCACUGAGAUCAUCUGGUCCAACUGCUGACCCAUCACCACCAUGCCCAUGUGAGGUAGGACUUCAGACUUUGGAUGCUCGGCUGUUUGUUGAGAUGCCUCACUGACGAUCCAGGCAGAUACAGAGGGUGACGUGCUGUGGGUGCCCAUGGAGCUGGAUCAUGUCCCUUGCUCCUCCCCAAAAGCCCUGAGACAUAUGGGGUGAGUCACACUGGAUGGCAGCUGCCAUAGGGUCGGGCGCUGUGGAAGGGGACAUUGCCAUGGAGACUCUCAAAUGCAUUUCUCCUUCCAAGCCAUCUUUGUCCUUGUA
ensembl:lncRNA